UGCAGUCGAGGGGUAUAAAUCUUCGGAUUUAGAGACCGGCGCACGGGUGCGUAACGCGUAUGCAAUCUACCUUUUACAGAGGGAUAGCCCAGAGAAAUUUGGAUUAAUACCUCAUAGUAUUAUGAAAUGGCAUCAUUUUAUAAUUAAAGUCACAACGGUAAAAGAUGAGCAUGCGUCCCAUUAGCUAGUUGGUAAGGUAACGGCUUACCAAGGCUACGAUGGGUAGGGGUCCUGAGAGGGAGAUCCCCCACACUGGUACUGAGACACGGACCAGACUCCUACGGGAGGCAGCAGUGAGGAAUAUUGGACAAUGGGCGCAAGCCUGAUCCAGCCAUGCCGCGUGCAGGAUGACGGUCCUAUGGAUUGUAAACUGCUUUUAUACGAGAAGAAACACUGCUUCGUGAAGCAGCUUGACGGUAUCGUAAGAAUAAGGAUCGGCUAACUCCGUGCCAGCAGCCGCGGUAAUACGGAGGAUCCAAGCGUUAUCCGGAAUCAUUGGGUUUAAAGGGUCCGUAGGCGGUUUGGUAAGUCAGUGGUGAAAGCCCAUCGCUCAACGGUGGAACGGCCAUUGAUACUGCCAGACUUGAAUUAUUAGGAAGUAACUAGAAUAUGUAGUGUAGCGGUGAAAUGCUUAGAGAUUACAUGGAAUACCAAUUGCGAAGGCAGGUUACUACUAAUGGAUUGACGCUGAUGGACGAAAGCGUGGGUAGCGAACAGGAUUAGAUACCCUGGUAGUCCACGCCGUAAACGAUGGAUACUAGCUGUUGGAAGCAAUUUCAGUGGCUAAGCGAAAGUGAUAAGUAUCCCACCUGGGGAGUACGUUCGCAAGAAUGAAACUCAAAGGAAUUGACGGGGGCCCGCACAAGCGGUGGA
rnacentral:rRNA from 1 species